GCCCAGAAGCAGGGGAUAACACUUGGAAACAGGUGCUAAUACCGUAUAACAACAAAAACCGCAUGGUUUUUGUUUGAAAGGUGGCUUCGGCUAUCACUUCUGGAUGGUUCCGCGGCGCAUUAGCUUGUUGGUGGGGUAACGGCUCACCAAGGCGAUGACGCGCAGCCGACCUGAGAGGGUAAUCGGCCCCAUUGGAACUGACACACGGCCCAAACUCCUACGGGAGGCACCAGUAGGGAAUCUUCCACAAUGGACGCAAGUCUGAUGGAGCAAUGCCGCGUGAGUGUUGAAGGGUUUCGGCUCGUAAAACUCUGUUGUUGAAGAAUAACGGGUGUCAGAGUAACUGUUGACAUCGUGACGGUAUUCAACCAGAAAGCCACGGCUAACUACGUGCCAGCAGCCGCGGUAAUACGUAGGUGGCAAGCGUUGUCCGGAUUUAUUGGGCGUAAAGCGAGCGCACGCGGUUUCUUAAGUCUGAUGUGAAAGCCUUCGGCUUAACCGAAGAAGUGCAUCGGGAAACUGGGGAAACUUGAGUGCAGAAGAGGAUUGUGGGAACUCCAUGUGUAGCGGGUGGUAUGCGUAGAUAUAUGGAAGAACACCAUCGGGCGAAGGGUGACUGUCUAGUCUGCACUGACGCUGAGGCUCAAAACCCUGGGUAUCG
rnacentral:rRNA from 2 species